AACUGUCGAGUCUUGCUUUUUGCUUUUUGAAGCCUUUGGUCUAGAAAUUAUGUGAAACAGCCACAAGAAUUAACGAUUCCUUUAAAGUUAACCACCAUUUAGGUUCAACUUCGAUUAGCCUUGAUCAGUGUUGCAUUAACUUUGUCCAGGGCCUCUGGUGUUGGAGGGGACUUGAACUUUUUGGUAUAAAUUUCUAAAGUGGUCUAGGGGCCCUAGACUUUACUGGAAAAGGUUGGAAAAGCAUGAUCAAGUUCCAGCUGUUGGAUCAAUUAUUCGGGCAAGUCAAUGCUUCUACGAUUUUUCGACAAAAAAUGAUCAUUAUAUAAUACCUAAAGUGAGUUCAAUUCAACAGCAUAACAAAUAUGGUUAACAAAAAUCGUCUUUGAAAAUUUGGAAGCAUGAAAGCAAUGAAAACUGAAUGGGGGCACAAGGAAACUGCGUCUUGCUGUCCAUAGAGGAAGGAUAUUAGAAUUGAGAUUCUCGUCUUCAUUCUCAAGUUCAGUGAAGUCAUCAUCAGAAUCAUCAUCACUUAAAAGCAAACGCCUUCGAUAUUCAUUCAUAGAAGCCCCUUCACUUGGAUUUUCUGGGGACACAGAUGCAAUCUGAAUCUCUUCUUCACUUUUUAUCAACUUUGGAAAUCUUGAUAUGUCGAAGAUCACUGCAAAGAUGGACAAUAGCAUUACUUUUCUGUGUAACCUGUCGCAUUUGUGCUGAUUUUCUUGGAAAGUGUUACCAGAAUGUUAAGUUGAUGUAUGUAAUUACCUACACAGAGACCAUAUAGCCGAGGAGACAAUCUCCUAUUUUAUAACAAGACCUGGCAGAGACAUAGCUGCUGAUCGAAAGAAAAAUGACGUGCAAAUUGCAUUUGAAGAAGCAGGCAAGAUUCAGCAAAACAAAGUGAAAACAAAAGCACAUUGAAGACUGCUUCAAAAAUUGUCAACAUGGCCGAUAUGAUUUGGUUUUCUUCAUAUACCGAGCAUGCGGCAAGUACAAAGAGGAUUUAGUGGAAAAUCGGACAGAAGAAAAUAUAGCUCACAGUCAUGUGCAAAUAGCACCAAUGUACAGACAGGCAGGGGCGUCACUUGAGGGGGAUAUGGGGGAAGGGGGUGGUUCCAGAAAGUAGGACCUUUUCGCAGAGCAAAACUGAUUUUUGCAGGGCAAAUGUUCUCUACCAACGGAUCUGCUUUGUUGUCUUUCUUAUGUAACUGUAACAAGAUAGUAGGUUAUGCUUGUAAUUUGUCUACUCCAAAAAUAAAAUGAUACAGACUACCAGUGACACGAAGUAGAAAUUGCCAGCGUGAUCUUGGGCUGGAUGGAAUAGAUUUCUAAAUUGAUCCUGAUUUCCUUUCAACUUAAGUGUUACACCCAUUUCUAUGAUUACACUCUUGCUUGAUAUUUGUGUCUUAUUUAAAACCAUACUAAAAAGACAAGCCCCGUUUGCCAGAAAACUAAGACAUUAUAAACGGGGCUAUUUGGGUAAAAGUAUGAUGGAAUAGUAUUGCAUAUUUGGGUCUAAAUUUGCUUUGAUUAUAACCAGAAGCGUGACUUCAAGAAGGGAGCCGACUAUAUACGGUUUUUAUAUCUAUUUUCUGUGGAUGACAUAAGGUGUAUUUUAUAAAUUCCUGUAGGUUUUCAAGCUUGUGUUUGCCAGAUAAAGAUUAUGAUCGAUAAAUCUACAAAGAUUAUGAUCGACUACGCCCCAUUGGGCAUUGCUCAAGAUAUGUUGUUCUAUUGUUGUCAUGAAUAUGUAGGCAUAACAACUUACCGCAUUUUAUGUGUUAAUGUUACGGUAUUUUAGUGUUACGGGGACUGGGGCCAGUUCCCAACAUUUCCAACUUUUGCCAGGGCAAAUCUUUUUCUACUGGGCAAAUAUGCAGCAACCCCCCCCCCCCCCUUAACAAAAAGUAUGAAGUGACGCCCCUGCAGUCAGGAUAAACUAUCGAUAAAAGGAAACAUUAAGACAAUUUAAAAUAUAUUGCUGGCAAUUUAUAGACAACAACAUCAAUUUCGCGUACGAUGUAAACACUUUAUCAGAGAAUACCUGGUUUAUGUUUCCAGAAUGCACAUGUCUCGUCGAACUCGACAAAAAGUCGGCUUGAUUAUAUGUCAUAUAACUCUUCCCUUUGAUUCUCUGCGGCAAACUUUGGAUCGAAACAAAAAAAAUGAAUAGUUAAACAAUUGUAAAUUCAAGGUAUACAUGCAUUUUAAAUCUCCAUCAAUGUCUGAUCCUUCCAGUUCACAAAGAAGUGUGCACUCCCUACAUCCCCCGGUAAA